rnacentral:siRNA from 1 species
AACCCUAUACUAGUUGGAGUCUCA